AUUGAACGCUGGCGGCGUGCUUAACACAUGCAAGUCGAUCGGUAACGCGGGGGCAACCCUGGCGACGAGAGGCGGACGGGUGAGGAACGCUUGGGAAUCUGCCUAUCAGCGAGGGACAACCCGGGGAAACUCGGGCUAAUACCGCAUACGCUCUACGGAGGAAAGCCGGGGACCGCAAGGCCUGGCACUGAUAGAUGAGCCAAAGUCGGAUUAGCUAGUUGGCGGGGUAACGGCCCACCAAGGCGACGAUCCGUAGCUGGUCUGAGAGGACGAUCAGCCACACUGGGACUGAGACACGGCCCAGACUCCUACGGGAGGCAGCAGUGGGGAAUAUUGGACAAUGGGGGGAACCCUGAUCCAGCCAUGCCGCGUGUGUGAAGAAGGCCUUAUGGUUGUAAAGCACUUUAAGCGAGGAGGAGGCUCUUUUGGUUAAUACCCAAGAUGAGUGGACGUUACUCGCAGAAUAAGCACCGGCUAACUCUGUGCCAGCAGCCGCAGUAAUAC
rnacentral:rRNA from 1 species